CCCACACCCAAGCAAAUGAGCCCUGCUGAAGUUCACCAUCUCCACUCAGGUUGCUUCCCCAGGAGACCAGCCUUCACUGGGGGAGAAGACUGCCCUGCGGCGGGCUCUCCUUGGCAAGCACAGCAAAGGACAGCCAGCCAUGGCACAGGUCACAGGCAGAAAGGACAGGUUUUACCGGGCAAAGCUGUAUCUCAGCAGACUCCCAGUUUCACCAGGGGUACACCACGUUGGAGCUAGAAGGCUGGAUGUCCAGAUGUAUUCGGGGACUUCAGGAUAAUCUUGGCAUCAGUUGUUCUACUAGAAUCUGGACCAAAGACCACUUCAUGAGAGUCUUUUCCUCAAACUUGUAAUAGGUAUGUUUAAGAACCAGCUGUUAUUCCUGGGUGAGGGGAAUGAGAAGAUAAGCAUCUGUAACUGUUGAGUCUGUAUCGCAGAGGCUGAAGUCCAGCACGUUUUCUCCUGCAGUCUUUAUCUCUGCCUGAAGGCAGACUCCUAAAGAAUGAUCCAGUGGAGAUGUGGACCCUGUAUACUGGGUUUAAGCCUACUGACAAAGCAUGGGCUCUUUCCAGUCAUGUUUCACAUGGCUUGCUCAGAAGCAGCCCUUAGUUACCUGGCAAUCUACCACAGAAAAUUCUCAUCAUCUACUUUUGGAAUAGUCUAUAGUUUGGCUAAUGAGAAAUCUCUUUGGAUCACCUAGCUGAUGUGACACAAUUAUUCUACUUGGAGACAGAGGACACACUGCUUUUAUGUUUGAAUUGAAAUGCCCUUCCCAGACUGUGACUUGAAGGGAGACUGAUGAUAGUUGUACAAGAAACCCUUUGGAAGACUCUCUGGUCCUUGGAUUAUUCCAUGAGCUUGAAGCUUUUCUUGGAUUAGAGUAUCUUCCCAGGAAAUCGAUGGUGGUGUGGGAGUUCAUUUAUCUGCGAGAGUGGAUUGCAUGCCUGAGGUUCUGUGACCACUUUGUUCCAAAAAUGAUGUGUUUAAAAAUAAAUAAGAGGCACCAGAUGGCAGCAUUUUCCCUCACUCCGAGUGUGAUCUCAUCCUCUCGGAUUCACUCCUGGGAUCAUCAGGCUUUGAGGCUGCGUAAACCACAACGACCUCAACGGAACUGCACCCUCUCUGUCGCCACCUGCUCUUUUUCCCACUUUCAUUGGACGUGUAGAGUCACAUUCAGGUGGCCUGGAUGCGAUCCAGGCCCUUGAAACUGUGGUUUGCCUUUUGCCUGUGCAGGCCUUAAGAGUCCAUAAGAAUCAUUAGCAUACAGGCACGUAAAAAUUUAGACCCAGCGAACAUGGCUCCGAGCUCUAAAUUUUCCAUAUUUAUUAAGUAGCAUGCAGGGUUUUUUGAUUUUAUGUUUAACUAACCGCUCUUUUCCACGUACAGGCAUGCACAAUGUUAUUUUUGUUUACAAGCAAGUUUUGCAUGUGUUCUUUUCUAUCAACUCUUUAUACUUUGAAUCUCGAAAUAAUAUUUCAUUGUACACCAGUUAUGUAUGACUAGUUAUGUGCACCUAGGCUUGUAACCUCUGUAGCAAGAACUCUGUUCCGCACAAAUAAUCCAAGGCAGGGCAGGGAUUUUGAGAACUUAACUUCGCAAGCUAUGGUUUCUUUUACAGUUACAGAUGUGGCCUAAAACUUUGUGGGCUAGGGAUUCUGUUGUCGCACCGUUCUCCAUGCUGCUUCUUCCCCUCAUCCUCAUGUUCUUGCUUAUAAAUUCAAGUCUGCUUUAUCAGUGGUUUUGUCAUAGAAGGAAAAAAAAAACCACAUUAUGUUCAGCUGUAACAAACUAUUCAUAAAUAAUCCACCUUUGAACUCUGAAUCUGCAGC